UGUUCCCUCCGGUGUGGCGCGCCGCCGGCCUCGGUGGCCGGGCCGGCGGCGCGCGUACCGCGUCAGAGGUUGGUCAUGUCGACCGGGAUCAG
rnacentral:tRNA from 1 species